AAGGGUAUAGCUCAGUGGUAGAGUGCAUGCUUAGCAUGCAAGAGGUCCAGGGUUCAAUCCCCAGUACCAGUA
rnacentral:tRNA from 1 species